rnacentral:rRNA from 1 species
CGAUACAGGGUGACAGCCCCGUACACAAAAAUGCACAUACUGUGAGCUCGAUGAGUAGGGCGGGACACGUGGUAUCCUGUCUGAAUAUGGGGGGACCAUCCUCCAAGGCUAAAUACUCCUGACUGACCGAUAGUGAACCAGUACCGUGAGGGAAAGGCGAAAAGAACCCCGGCGAGGGGAGUGAAAAAGAACCUGAAACCGUGUACGUACAAGCAGUGGGAGCACGCUUAGGCGUGUGACUGCGUACCUUUUGUAUAAUGGGUCAGCGACUUAUAUUCUGUAGCAAGGUUAACCGAAUAGGGGAGCCGAAGGGAAACCGAGUCUUAACUGGGCGUUAAGUUGCAGGGUAUAGACCCGAAACCCGGUGAUCUAGCCAUGGGCAGGUUGAAGGUUGGGUAACACUAACUGGAGGACCGAACCGACUAAUGUUGAAAAAUUAGCGGAUGACUUGUGGCUGGGGGUGAAAGGCCAAUCAAACCGGGAGAUAGCUGGUUCUCCCCGAAAGCUAUUUAGGUAGCGCCUCGUGAAUUCAUCUCCGGGGGUAGAGCACUGUUUCGGCAAGGGGGUCAUCCCGACUUACCAACCCGAUGCAAACUGCGAAUACCGGAGAAUGUUAUCACGGGAGACACACGGCGGGUGCUAACGUCCGUCGUGAAGAGGGAAACAACCCAGACCGCCAGCUAAGGUCCCAAAGUCAUGGUUAAGUGGGAAACGAUGUGGGAAGGCCCAGACAGCCAGGAUGUUGGCUUAGAAGCAGCCAUCAUUUAAAGAAAGCGUAAUAGCUCACUGGUCGAGUCGGCCUGCGCGGAAGAUGUAACGGGGCUAAACCAUGCACCGAAGCUGCGGCAGCGACGCUGAUGCGUUGUUGGGUA